CUGCGGCGCCGACCUGUCUCCCGGCCAAGAGCUCAUCUCCGAAGGCCGCGACAUGUUCAUCGUCUUCCGCGGGAAAUAUGGCUACGUAAAGGGGUUUUCGGCUCGGCUGGACUUCGUCGAGGGGAAGAGGACGGAGAGCGGAGGAUGCGAGGAAUCGACAGGGGAAAUGGGAGAGGAAGAAGGCGGAGCAGGAGAACGAAGAGGAGGGAGAGAAGGAGUAGGAGGAAGUGGCGACGUUGAUGGCGGGAAUUCGCUGUUAUGAUGAGUAACAUCGGAAAUCGACGAAUUCAUUUCCUGCAAGGAGUUUCCCCGUCGAUGCUGAACAGAAGCUUUGCAGUGUUGGAACUUGGUUGGUAUUUGCAAUUGGCAAUAAGAAUGGUUAUGAUGGUUCAUCGUGAUGAGUGGAAACUACAGAAGUACUGCAAAUAAAUGCUGAUAUUGAAUGA